CCUUCCUCUCAUCCUAAUCGGCAUCCUUUCCUCUUUCCUUCCCCUCCCUUCCUCUUCGCCCUCCCUUUCGCACGCGUGCUCUCCGUCCACCUCGACCGCGCCACCGACGUAGUCCGCGCCUGGUGGCGGCAGCGGCAGACGCUCCCGUUCUCGUUCCCGUUCCCGUCGCCGUUCGCGAUCAUGGCCUCCGUCUCAGUUACCUUAUGCUGUUCCUCUGCGGUCAGCCUCCUGCGCUUCCGGGGCCCAGCGGAGGCGCCCAGGUGGUCUCACAGGGCCCUGUCCAGCAACGACUCAUCGUAGUUUAUCGGCAGCGCGUUGCGAUGCCUCGGCAACUGCCUGGGUGGUGCUGGAGUCCAUCGGUGGGGAUGCGGAGGGGGCCGAGCAAGAGAGAGCGGGGAGGACGAGGGAAGGCAGGUGAAGAAGAAGAGGGUGAGCGCAUUCGAGCCCGAAGCUCGAUGGAGAUAAACAUGGAGCUAGAGAAGAAGAGGAGGCGGGGGCGGUUGUGGUCACCGCAAGUGAGCAUAAGCUGCCAUUGCUCUCACUGCUCUUCGUCUCCUUGACAAAUAAAUAAAUAAAUAAAUAAGUAAAUUAAUUUGAAAAUAGUGUGUCGCUUAUUUUGAAAUAAAGGAUCCUUUAUUUAUUUUAAUUGGAGGAGUGCCUGUGGGAAUCCUUGUGGUUCUCGCACAUGGCGUCGACACGCUAAAAGAAAGCCUCGGACUCCCGGCAAAAGUUUCGAGCACAUUCGCUUGGGGAGCGUCGAAUUAAUUAGCAACGGGAACAAGAACGGGAGCGUUCACCGCUACUGCCACCGGCCGCGGACUGCAUCGGCAGCGCAGAGAGGAAGGGAGGGAGAGGAAAGGGGAAACGAUGAUGAUGAGGAUGAGAGGAAAGAGGAGAAAGAAGAAGAAAAGAAAAAGAAAUAGUGCAAUUUUGAUCUAAAAAGUGUAAUUCUUCUUCUAAAUAGUGCAAUUUUGGCUUAAAGAUUGUAACUCUCAUUCUAAACAAUGUAUUUUCUAUAUCAAAGAGUGUAAUUUUUAUUGAAAAUCGUACAAAAAUUUUUUAUAACAGUUUAAUUUUAUUUUAGCAGUGCAAUUUCAUCAUAUUCUUCUUUUUUAUAUAAUUUUUGAUUUUUUCUGUAGAAAAAAAUAUGUUUAUUCUUAUUUUUUUAUUAUUCUUAUUUUUUCUCUUUCUAGUU
rnacentral:lncRNA from 1 species